GGUCAAGUUAUUAAGGGUGCAGGGCGGAUGCCUUGGCACUAGGAGCCGAUGAAGGACGUGAUAAGCUGCGAUAAGCUUCGGGGAGUUGCACGUAAACUUUGAUCCGAAGAUUUCCGAAUGAGGAAACUCACUUAGAGUAAUGUCUAAGUAUCAUUAAGUGAAUACAUAGCUUAAUGAGGGGAACUCAGGGAACUGAAACAUCUAAGUACCUGAAGGAAGAGAAAGAAAUUCGAUUCCGUAAGUAGCGGCGAGCGAACGCGGAUUAGCCCAAACCAAUAAAGUUUUCUUUAUUGGGGUUGCGGACAUAUCAUAACGAAGAGGUAUCGUAAUUGAAGAGGUUUGGAAAGACCCACCACAGAAGGUAAUAGUCCUGUAUGUUAAACGAGAAGACUUCAGAUAUGAUCCAGAGUACCACGGGACACGUGAAACCCUGUGGGAAGCAGGAGGGACCACCCUCCAAGGCUAAAUACUACCUAGUGACCGAUAGCGUAUAGUACCGUGAGGGAAAGGUGAAAAGAACCCCGGGAGGAGUGAAAUAGAACCUGAAACCCUGCACUUACAAGCUGUGGAAGCACAUUUCUUGUGUGACCGCGUACUUUUUGUAGAACGGGCCAACGAGUUACGUUAAGUAGCAAGGUUAAGCACUUAAGGUGUGGAGCCGUAGCGAAAGCGAGUUUUAACUGAGCGUUCAGUUACUUGACGUAGACCCGAAACCGGGCGACCUACCCAUGAGCAGGAUGAAGCGAAAGUAAAAUUUCGUGGAGGUCCGAACCCACGAGCGUUGAAAAGCUCGGGGAUGACUUGUGGGUAGCGGUGAAAUUCCAAUCGAGCCCGGAGAUAGCUGGUUCUCCCCGAAAUAGCUUUAGGGCUAGCCUCAAGGUGAGAGAUACGGAGGUAGAGCACUGAAUGUCCUAGGGGGUAUUGCACCUACCGAAGACUAUCAAACUCCGAAUGCCGUCAUCUUAUACUUGGGAGUCAGACUGUGGGUGAUAAGAUUCAUAGUCGAAAGGGCAACAGCCCAGAUCGUCAGCUAAGGUCCCUAAAUGUAAGUUAAGUGGUAAAGGAUGUGGGAUUGCACAGACAACCAGGAUGUUGGCUUAGAAGCAGCCACUCAUUCAAAGAGUGCGUAAUAGCUCACUGGUCGAGUGAUCCUGCGCCGAAGAUUUCCGGGGCUAAAACUUACUACCGAAGCUACGGCAUCAGUAAUGAUGGGUAGGGGAGCUUCCCAUACGGGUUGAAGCAUGACCGUAAGGACAUGUGGACAGUAUGGGAGUGAGAAUGUUGGCAUGAGUAGCGAGAUGUGGGUGAGAAUCCCACAGGCCGUAAACCCAAGGUUUCCAGGGGAAGGUUCGUCCGCCCUGGGUUAGUCGGGACCUAAGCUGAGGCCGAAAGGCGUAGGUGAUGGACAACAGGUUGAUAUUCCUGUACUACCGAUAACCGUUUGAGAGAAGGGAUGACACAGUAGGAUAAGCUAAGCACACUGUUGGUUAUGUGUGCCCAAGCAUUGAGGCAGUCAAAGUAGGCAAAUCCGCUUUGAUAAUGCUGGGAUGUGAUGGGGAGCGAAAUUUAGUAGCGAAGUAGCUGAUUUCACACUGUCAAGAAAAGUCUCUAUCGAGGUUAAAGGUACCCGUACCGCAAACCGACACAGGUGGGUGAGGAGAGUAUCCUAAGGCCAGCGAGAGAACUGUUGUUAAGGAACUCGGCAAAAUGACCCCGUAACUUAGGGAUAAGGGGUGCCACCAUCAGGUGGCCGCAGAGAAUAGGCCCAAGCGACUGUUUACCAAAAACAUAGGUUUCUGCUAAGUCGCAAGACGAUGUAUAGGAGCUGACGCCUGCCCGGUGCUGGAAGGUUAAGGGGAUCUGUUAGAGCAAUCGAAGCAGUGAACUUAAGCCCCAGUAAACGGCGGCCGUAACUAUAACGGUCCUAAGGUAGCGAAAUUCCUUGUCGGGUAAGUUCCGACCCGCACGAAAGGCGUAACGAUUUGGGCACUGUCUCAACAACAGACUCGGUGAAAUUGUAAUUCCGGUGAAGAUGCCGGAUACCUGCGACAGGACGGAAAGACCCCAUGGAGCUUUACUGUAGCUUGACAUUGGGUUUUGGUACUACAUGUACAGGAUAGGUGGGAGGCUUUGAAACCAGGACGCCAGUUUUGGCGGAGCCAUCCUUGGGAUACCACCCUUGUAGUACUGGGACUCUAACCAUAGGCCAUGAAUCUGGUCUUGGGACACUGUCAGGUGGGCAGUUUGACUGGGGCGGUCGCCUCCCAAAAGGUAACGGAGGCGCUCAAAGGUUCUCUCAGUACGGUCGGAAAUCGUACGUAGAGUGUAAAGGCAAAAGAGAGCUUGAUUGCAAGACAUACAGGUCGAGCAAGGAUGAAAAUCGGACUUAGUGAUCCGGUGGUUCUGCGUGGAAGGGCCAUCGCUCAACGGAUAAAAGCUACCCUGGGGAUAACAGGCUUAUCUCCCCCAAGAGUCCACAUCGACGGGGAGGUUUGGCACCUCGAUGUCGGCUCAUCACAUCCUGGGGCUGUAGUAGGUCCCAAGGGUUGGGCUGUUCGCCCAUUAAAGUGGUACGCGAGCUGGGUUCAGAACGUCGUGAGACAGUUCGGUCCCUAUCCGUCGCAGGCGUAGGAAAUUUGAGAAGACCUGUCCUUAGUACGAGAGGACCGGGAUGGACGUACCUCUGGUGUACCAGUUGUUCUGCCAAGGGCAUGGCUGGGUAGCUAUGUACGGAAUGGAUAAGCGCUGAAAGCAUCUAAGCGCGAAGCCAACUUCAAGAUAAGAUUUCCCACCGCAAGGGUAAGACCCCAGAAAGACUAUCUGGUUGAUAGGUCGAAGGUGUAAGUGCAGCAAUGUAUUUAGCUUAUCGAUACUAAUAGGUCGAGGACUUGACCAA
rnacentral:rRNA from 1 species